GAGGGAAAAGAGUGGCGAACGGGUGAGUAACACGUGGGUAACCUGCCCAUCAGAAGGGGAUAACACUUGGAAACAGGUGCUAAUACCGUAUAACACUAUUUUCCGCAUGGAAGAAAGUUGAAAGGCGCUUUUGCGUCACUGAUGGAUGGACCCGCGGUGCAUUAGCUAGUUGGUGAGGUAACGGCUCACCAAGGCAACGAUGCAUAGCCGACCUGAGAGGGUGAUCGGCCACACUGGGACUGAGACACGGCCCAGACUCCUACGGGAGGCAGCAGUAGGGAAUCUUCGGCAAUGGACGAAAGUCUGACCGAGCAACGCCGCGUGAGUGAAGAAGGUUUUCGGAUCGUAAAACUCUGUUGUUAGAGAAGAACAAGGAUGAGAGUAAAACGUUCAUCCCUUGACGGUAUCUAACCAGAAAGCCACGGCUAACUACGUGCCAGCAGCCGCGGUAAUACGUAGGUGGCAAGCGUUGUCCGGAUUUAUUGGGCGUAAAGCGAGCGCAGGCGGUUUCUUAAGUCUGAUGUGAAAGCCCCCGGCUCAUCCGGGGAGGGUCAUUGGAAACUGGGAGACUUGAGUGCAGAAGAGGAGAGUGGAAUUCCAGGUGUAGCGGUGAAAUGCGUAGAUAUAUGGAGGAACACCAGUGGCGAACGCGGCUCUCUGGUCUGUAACUGACGCUGAGGCUCGAAAGCGUGGGGAGCGAACAGGAUUAGAUACCCUGGUAGUCCACGCCGUAAACGAUGAGUGCUAAGUGUUGGAAGGGUUUCCGCCCUUCAGUGCUGCAGCAAAAGCAUUAAGGACUCCG
rnacentral:rRNA from 1 species